rnacentral:rRNA from 1 species
ACACGACCGUACCCAAACCGACACUGGUGCGCGAGAUGAGUAUUCUAAGGCGCUUGAGAGAACUCAGGAGAAGGAACUCGGCAAAUUGACACCGUAACUUCGGAAGAAGGUGUGCCUUUAGUAGGUGAAGUCCCUCGCGGAUGGAGCCCAAUGAGGUUGCAAAAAAUCGGUGGCUGCGACUGUUUAUUAAAAACACAGCACUCUGCAAACACGAAAGUGGACGUAUAGGGUGUGACGCCUGCCCGGUGCUGGAAGAUUAAAUGAUGGGGUGCAAGCUCUUGAUUGAAGUCCCAGUAAACGGCGGCCGUAACAAUAACGGUCCUAAGGUAGCGAAAUUCCUUGUCGGGUAAGUUCCGACCUGCACGAAUGGCGUAACGAUGGCCACACUGUCUCCUCCUGAGACUCAGCGAAGUUGAAAUGUUUGUGAUGAUGCAAUCUCCCCGCGGAAAGACGGAAAGACCCCAUGAACCUUUACUGUAGCUUUGUAUUGGACUUUGAACAGAUCUGUGUAGGAUAGGUGGGAGGCUUUGAAGCAGGGUCGCUAGAUCUUGUGGAGCCAACGUUGAAAUACCACCCUGGUGUGUUUGAGGUUCUAACCUAGGCCCGUAAUCCGGGUUGGGGACAGUGCAUGGUAGGCAGUUUGACUGGGGCGGUCUCCUCCCAAAGUGUAACGGAGGAGUUCGAAGGUACGCUAGUUACGGUCGGACAUCGUGACGAUAGUGCAAUGGCAUAAGCGUGCUUAACUGCGAGACUGACAAGUCGAGCAGAUGCGAAAGCAGGACAUAGUGAUCCGGUGGUUCUGUAUGGAAGGGCCAUCGCUCAACGGAUAAAAGGUACUCUGGGGAUAACAGGCUGAUACCGCCCAAGAGUUCAUAUCGACGGCGGUGUUUGGCACCUCGAUGUCGGCUCAUCUCAUCCUGGGGCUGUAGCCGGUCCCAAGGGUAUGGCUGUUCGCCAUUUAAAGAGGUACGUGAGCUGGGUUUAAAACGUCGUGAGACAGUUUGGUCCCUAUCUUCCGUGGGCGCUGCAGAUUUGAGGAAGCCUGCUCCUAGUACGAGAGGACCGGAGUGGACGCACCUCUGGUGUAUCGGUUGUCACGCCAGUGGCAUUGCCGAGUAGCUAUGUGCGGAAGAGAUAACCGCUGAAAGCGUCUAAGCGGGAAACUCGUUUCAAGAUGAGAUCUGCCGGGGCCUUGAGCCCCCUGAGGAGUCGUUCAAGACCAGGACGUUGAUAGGUCGGGUGUGGAAGCGCAGUAAUGCGUUAAGCUAACCGAUACUAAUUGCUCGUGCGGCUUGACCCU